rnacentral:pre_miRNA from 1 species
CAACUACUCCCUUCGUUCUGAAUUACUUGUCUUGAAUUUGUCUAGAUACGGAUGUAUCUAGACUCAUUUUAGUGCUAGAUACCUCCGUAUCUAGACAAAUUUAAGACAAGUAAUUCGGAACAGAGGGAGUAGCAC